rnacentral:rRNA from 1 species
AUUGAACGCUGGCGGCAUGCUUUACACAUGCAAGUCGAACGGCAGCGCGGGCUUCGGCCUGGCGGCGAGUGGCGAACGGGUGAGUAAUACAUCGGAACGUGCCCAGUAGUGGGGGAUAGCUCGGCGAAAGCCGGAUUAAUACCGCAUACGACCUGAGGGUGAAAGCGGGGGAUCUUCGGACCUCGCGCUAUUGGAGCGGCCGAUGGCAGAUUAGCUAGUUGGUGGGGUAAAGGCCUACCUAGGCGACGAUCUGUAGCUGGUCUGAGAGGACGACCAGCCACACUGGGACUGAGACACGGCCCAGACUCCUACGGGAGGCAGCAGUGGGGAAUUUUGGACAAUGGGCGAAAGCCUGAUCCAGCAAUGCCGCGUGUGUGAUGAAGGCCUUCGGGUUGUAAAGCACUUUUGGCGGGAACGAAAAGGACUGUGCCAAUACCACGGUUCGAUGACGGUACCCGCAGAAUAAGCACCGGCUAACUACGUG